CGUGGAUAUCCUUGCACCCCCUGGCUCAUGACUCCUUACCGUAAUCCCAGGCCAGGACCACAGAUGGCAUUUAACUCCGCGCUUACUGCCACUAGGCAGCUGGUGGAGCGCACAAUUGGUGUCCUUAAAGGGCGGUUUCGUGUGCUCCACCGCACUGGUGGCGACAUCAUGUAUUCGCCGGAGAUGGCAAGUAAAAUAGUGGUCCUGUGCGCAAUACUACAUAAUAUCGCGGUAAGGAGUAGUGUAGAGCUUCCUCAGGCAGAGGAAUUGCCUGAUGAGGAGCCAGGGGUUGUUCGACACUUCGGUGGUGGGAGUGUUACACGGAGGGGGAGCCAAGUGAGGGCAAGGAUUGUUGCCGAAUAUUUCAGCUGAAUGAUCACACAAACUGUGGACAACAACAACGGCAGACCUCUCCGCCCCCUUCCCCUUCCCAGUCCCCCUCCCCUUCUCACUCCCCCUCCCCUUCUCACUCCCCCUCCCCUUCCCAGUCCCCCUCAUCUUCCCAGUCCCCCUCAUCUUCCCAGUCCCCCUCAGCUUCCCUGGCCCACACCACUUUACACUCCCCUUCUCACCACACCUCUCCAUCUCUUUCUGGGACCCCUUCUCCUCC